CCUACGGGUGGCAGCAGUGGGGAAUAUUGCGCAAUGGACGAGAGUCUGAACCAGCCAAGUAGCGUGAAGGAUGACUGCCCUAUGGGUUGUAAACUUCUUUUAUAUGGGAAUAAAAUGUUCCACGUGUGGGAUUUUGUAUGUACCAUAUGAAUAAGGAUCGGCUAACUCCGUGCCAGCAGCCGCGGUAAUACGGAGGAUCCGAGCGUUAUCCGGAUUUAUUGGGUUUAAAGGGAGCGUAGGUGGAUUGUUAAGUCAGUUGUGAAAGUUUGCGGCUCAACCGUAAAAUUGCAGUUGAAACUGGCAGUCUUGAGUACAGUAGAGGUGGGCGGAAUUCGUGGUGUAGCGGUGAAAUGCUUAGAUAUCACGAAGAACUCCGAUUGCGAAGGCAGUUCACUGGACUGCAACUGACACUGAGGCUCGAAAGUGUGGGUAUCAAACAGGAUUAGAUACCCCAGUAGUC
rnacentral:rRNA from 1 species